ACCCCUUUGUGCUUCUUAAGUGUGAUGAUGAUUGGGUUUUCGGGCUAUUGUUUGAGAUGUGUCUCCCUCAAACCUUGUUAUGACACUGGUGCAUUACCUGUCUGACA